rnacentral:rRNA from 1 species
UACGGAGGGUGCAAGCGUUGUCCGGAUUUAUUGGGUUUAAAGGGUGCGUAGGCGGCCUAUUAAGUCAGUGGUGAAAUCCUGCAGCUUAACUGUAGAACAGCCAUUGAUACUGAUGGGCUUGAGUUCAGACGAGGUAGGCGGAAUUUAUGGUGUAGCGGUGAAAUGCAUAGAUACCAUAAAGAACACCGAUUGCGAAGGCAGCUUACUAGACUGACACUGACGCUGAUGCGCGAAAGCGUGGGGAGCGAUCCGG